ensembl:lncRNA
GUGAGAUCUCAGAUUGGGGAGUUCCAGGUUACACAAAAUCCAUGAAACUAAGACUGAACCAAUGGCUUGGAUGCCUCAAGUCUCUGUGCCCUCUCUAAGGAUCUAGGCUCUUAAGAAGCAAAAAUCUGUAUCAUCCUAAAGGAAGAGGUUGAAGGAGAUUAAAGAAGAAGGCUGAGUUCCUUACUUAAUGGCUGUAUAACACGAAACAACACACUGGUGGCAGGUUUCUACCUUGCAGUCUUUGGCCCGAAUGGCGAAUGUAGUUUAAUGAAUCUCUCAGUGAAAAAAGAAGAAAAAGAUAAAAAG